rnacentral:rRNA from 1 species
GACGAACGCUGGCGGCGUGCUUAACACAUGCAAGUCGAACGGAAAGGCCCUGCUUUUGUUGGGUGCUCGAGUGGCGAACGGGUGAGUAACACGUGAGUAACCUGCCCUUGACUUUGGGAUAACUUCAGGAAACUGGGGCUAAUACCGGAUAGGAGCUCCUGCUGCAUGGUGGGGGUUGGAAAGUUUCGGCGGUUGGGGAUGGACUCGCGGCUUAUCAGCUUGUUGGUGGGGUAGUGGCUUACCAAGGCUUUGACGGGUAGCCGGCCUGAGAGGGUGACCGGCCACAUUGGGACUGAGAUACGGCCCAGACUCCUACGGGAGGAAGCAGUGGGGAAUAUUGCACAAUGGGCGGAAGCCUGAUGCAGCAACGCCGCGUGCGGGAUGACGGCCUUCGGGUUGUAAACCGCUUUCGCCUGUGACGAAGCGUGAGUGACGGUAAUGGGUAAAGAAGCACCGGCUAACUACGUG